GUGGUUGUAGCUCAGUGGUAGAGCCCUUGCCUACCUAGCAUGUGUGAGGCCCUGGGUUCAAUCCUCAGCACCACA
rfam:Ictidomys tridecemlineatus contig023880, whole genome shotgun sequence.